rnacentral:rRNA from 1 species
GACGAACGCUGGCGGCGUGCUUAACACAUGCAAGUCGAACGGUGAAGCGCCUUCCUUUUUGGGUGCUGGGGAUGAGUGCCGAACGGGUGAGUAACACUAGAGUAACCUGCCCCCUUCUUCUGCAUAACCACAUGAAAGCUUGUCUAAUACGGGAGAUUCUGCGUCUGUGUCAUGGUGGGUCUGUUUAAGCUAUUGGUUCGGUAGUGGAUGGGCUCGCGGCCGAUCAGCGUGUUGGUGUGGUGAUGGCCUACGAAGGCGGUGAGGGGUAGACGGCCUGGGAGGGUGGACGGUCUCACUGGGAGUGAGACACGGCCGAGACUCAUAUGGGGGGCAGACGUGGGGGAGAGUGCACAAUGGGGGAAAGUGUGCUGCGGGGAGGACGCGUAAGGGACGGAGGCGUUCGGGUUGUGAACCUCUUUGGCCAGUGAAGCGCGCCUGCCUCGUUUGUGGGUGGGUUGACGGUAGCUGGAUAAGAAGCGCCGGCUAACUACGUG